UCACACACUCACACACACACACACAGAGUGAGUGUGGCGGUGGGGACACGCGGCCAUGCAGCAGACGCAGUCACGGACUCACACGAGGCCGCGGCGAUGAAGAAGAGGAGCGCCGUCGUCAUCGUCAUCGGUGUGUGUGGCGGACAAAAUGGACACCUCAGGCAGCCAUCUUGGUUUCAGUGUGGGAGCAGAGGGACCGUACCAUGCUGGAAGAGAGGGGGGGGACGAGAAGUGGACAUUAGCUCCUCUUUAACUUGUUUCAGAAUACAUUCAUGUGAAGAAAAAGAUGUAAAAAAAAAAAAAUGAUGUUUUGAGAGUCCAAAAUGUCAAGAACUCAUCGUUUCGCUGCGCAGUUUUUCCAAAAUAAGAGCAGCUCCAAUUCAGUUUUUCUCAGGGAAAAACAGACGUCAACUUUAUUCCAAGUGAAUUUACAAGCAGGGGUCUCAAACUCAGGUGACCUCAGGGGUCAGGAGGGGGCCGCUCCAUGUUAAGUAAAGUACAACUCAUGACUAUAAUCAUGAUAGUGAUAUUUGGGACAAUAUUUCAAAGUAUAUCGUAAAUAUUCAGUAGUUCACAACAGAAUAAAUACGUGAUGCAAAGUUAAUGUGUAAAUAAGAUAUAUAAAGAUACGAAACAUGGAAAAAUAAUUAUGAUUUGACAACGCUCUGUCAAAAAUAUUUGAAAUGAGUCAGUUUAAAUCAAAACAAGUCACUUAAUAACUAUAUAAUAAUAAUAAUAAAUAAUCAUUUGGCAAAUGUUCUCUUUAAAAACUUGAUUUGAGCAUAAAAUCUAAAUUUAAAAAACAAAAAAAAAAGCAUUUUGGACUCUCGCAUUUGUAAAAGCUGUAUUUCCUCUACUUUCAUGUACAUAAAAAAGGGUUUAAAGUGCUAUAUUUUCCACUUUUGAACAACUGCUAUACUUCCCGUUCACUUCAUCAGUGAGUCGACGACACGCUGGAAUGAACCGCGGGAAACCUGCUCGUUUGUGGCGUUCCCUCUGCGUGAAGUCUCCUCCUCCCUCCUCGUCGUCGACUUCCCGUCUUGGCUGAGAUGUUUGAACGGGAGGGGCGGCCAUCUUGGCUCUGGGGGGGCUGCAGCAGCGGUUGCUCAGUAGUCAGUGUAGAUCCUGUGGGGCUGACAGCAGCUACAUCUGGCUACUGGGUCUCUGCUGGCAGCCGUCGCGUCGUCGUCAACACAGGAAUCAUGAUGUGUUUUUCUUUGACUUUUUAAAUGUAAACCAAGGAUUGUGAGCGAGUUCUGGACCUGGCAUACAGUGUAGGAUUCUGUGUGUCAGUCUACAGCUACAUUGUCUGCUGGGUUUCAGGCCCGCGCUCGCUCUCACGUCUCUAUUCGUCUUUAAAUGUAAACAAAUGUACUGUAACUGCGGCUCAUUUGACAACUUUUUUGUGUUUAUUGACUCGUCAUAAAACAUUCUUCAAAACAAAUAAAACAAACUUUUUUUUAAACGUCCGUUUCUGUACACAAUGCUUUGCUAAGCAAAUUUUUAUUUAUAUAUAUUUAGAAAAUGUAGGAGGAGUCGUGUUAAAAUGACAGAGGACUCCUUCAAAUUUUAAUGGCAGGUACUCUGGAAAAAAUAACAGCAUUCCAUCCACAAAGUUUUUGUUUUUUUUCAAGCAAUAAAUAUGUAUUUAUAAAUAGUGUAAAUUUACAUCAAGAUUAGAAACAACAAAAUCACAAAUUAAACUUUAUUCCAUAAGUCUAUGUGCAACCCAUUUUCUUUGUGACUUGGCUAGUAGUUUUUUUUUGUUUUUCUUU